UACGAAGGGGGCUAGCGUUGCUCGGAAUCACUGGGCGUAAAGCGCACGUAGGCGGAUCUUUAAGUCAGGGGUGAAAUCCUGGAGCUCAACUCCAGAACUGCCUUUGAUACUGGGGAUCUCGAGUCCGGGAGAGGUGAGUGGAACUGCGAGUGUAGAGGUGAAAUUCGUAGAUAUUCGCAAGAACACCAGUGGCGAAGGCGGCUCACUGGCCCGGUACUGACGCUGAGGCGCGAAAGCGUGGGUAGCAAACAGG
rnacentral:rRNA from 1 species